UUCUGUGAGCAAACACCUCUCAGCGUGAGGAGGGGAUGGAAAUGCUGGGCGGGCUGGAGAGCCACGGGCAGCUCCCGAGUCCCGCGCCGCUGAGAGGGCAUUGCGAAGGCUCGUGGACAGAUGUAAUCUGCUCUCCUCAAAAGCAUGGAACGAACGCAUCUCACCUCAAGUAACAUGAAGAAAGGAAAUGAAUGCGAGUGGAGUCGGUGAAGUUGAAAUAGCAUGGAAUCCAUACUGCUACAGAAUGAACAGUACUGCAAUAUCUCAUUUGGACAAGUUCACAGGCUGCUGUAAGGAAGAAGUAAACUGUUGAUAAAAACUGGUAAAAGAUUUCUCAUCCUCUGCUGGAAGGACUGCCAAGAAGUUUAUGUACAUUUUCCUUUCCCGUAUAAUGCUGUAUGAGCAUGGCUUUCACUUCCAUGGCUUUCAAAAGAAAAUGUUCUAAGCAGUAAGAUGUGGAUCUCAAUCUUUAUUAAAAGUAAAGAAUUAAAUUACUUCUCAGGAACACUCCAGACUGAAAAUUUACAAGUUACAUAAAAAAAAAUCAAAUAUAAUUCUGUCUUUACACAGUGAAGGAGUAUCUACAUUGUCAUUAUAGCAAGGAGUUCCAAUCUAUCCUCAGAAUGCAGAGGUAAAUGUCUGUAUGCACCUGCCUGAGAAGAUAUGAAAACAACAAACAAGUGAUUAAAUGUGAGAUGUCUUAUGUAAUACUUGCAAGAGCUUUUUGUUGUAAAAAUAAAGGAAAUUUAUGUCAUUGAAGUCCUACGCUGUAUUGUCAAACAAAUAAGAAACAGACCAUAAUCAG